GCCCGGAUGGUGAAAUUGGUAGACACAAGGGACUUAAAAUCCCUCGGACUUAAUCGUCCAUGCCGGUUCGAUUCCGGCUCCGGGCACCA
rnacentral:tRNA from 4 species